rnacentral:rRNA from 1 species
UACGAAGGGGGCUAGCGUUGUUCGGAAUUACUGGGCGUAAAGGGCGCGUAGGCGGCGUGUCAAGUCAGGCGUGAAAGCCCCGGGCUCAACCUGGGAACCGCGCUUGAGACUGGCAUGCUCGAGUUCGGGAGAGGAUGGUGGAAUUCCCAGUGUAGAGGUGAAAUGCGUAGAUAUCUGGAGGAACAUCGGUGGCGAAGGCGGCAUCCUGGACCGGUAUUGACGCUGAGGCGCGAAAGCCAGGGGAGCAAACGGG